CGCACAAUUCAAAAUCUCGCUUUAGCUCGCAUCCGACAGCUCGUUAUUAUUAUCAGAACGGUAACAUUCCUCGCAUUGUAAUCUCAGAGUUCGAAGAUGUCGAAAUCGAACAAUUAUUAUUCGUGUUACAGUUAACGUUGUUUGUUACACACAUUCUCCCAACAAAGAUCGAAAUGCGUGUCUUCAUAAAGACGAUUCCGUUAGCGAAGAUGUCUGUGAUGAUGUGUCCUUCACUGACCGUAUAUGCACCCAACUGUGUAAUCAAAUCAUCGUCAUACUAGCUCAAAAGUCAUUCACAUGUCGUAUUGCGUCGGUGUAACAGUAUUAUGACUUUAAGACUCAAAACUCAUCCGGAAGUUUACCGUACACGUUGUCACAGACUCCUGCAUAUGAUUCUUCCUGAUUCAAAAGCGCUUGUUUCGCGGAAUUUGGCAAAAAUUCCCACUGAGAUUUAUUACCUAAUUAACUACAACAUGUGCGAAUUUAUGAAAUUGUAUUUUUCAUCAAACUCCAGACAACGACCAAAAAAUGAACAACGUUGAAGCAGUACUCGAAAUUAAAUAACUUCAGGAACAAUGAUAUCCGAGUUAUUUGAAACAUCUUUAAUUUCAUUCCGCAACUGUUCGGGUCAGGCAUUUUUUUAAUAAUUGUAUUAUGUGUCCACAAAUAAUUAAUUGCACUCAAGUGUGAAAUUUGCUUUUGCUAUCGCGUGUCAAAAAUUAGCAUUAGACUCUAGGUCAAAUUUAUUUAAAUAAUGUUUUACUGUUUCAAUAACAGGACCGUCAUUUUUUGACUAAACAUUCGUUAAGUAGGAUUUGUCAAAAUAUGAAAGGAUUACCCUCAUGACCAGUUAAUACGAGGAUUUUAUUCGAAAUGACAAAUAAUAAAAUUUUCCGUUUGAGGCGUUGUUAAACUGAAUUAAAUUUGUUCCGUUUAUGAAUCAAUAAAAUUUCAGUACUUACCAUUUUUAUUUAGGAAAAGUAAAAGGGUUAAAGAAGCAUUCUCGCCAAGAUCGCUUCAGCCAAGUUUAUAAUUGGAUUUAUGUGACUUUAAACUUAGAUUAGCUAUUUAGCAGUUAAAUCUAAUAAAUGUGGACUUUUGCUUAAUUGGGUUUGCCAACUCGUUGUGUGGCCUUAUAGCUACAAUGGACCUUGAAGGUAAAUUAAGUAUCCAUUGUAUUAGCGCUGCAGCCAAUUUCUUCUGAACUUAAAAAAUGUAUUUUUUCGGAGUUGCAAUUUGUGCGUAGCCGAUGGCUGUACCAUUGCACUUCCUUUCAGAAAUCGUAAACGAAUUGAAAAAAUUGCAGCGUUGAUUAUAUUCUUGUUACUGAGAUUAGCGGCACUAAAGGCAAACAGUUUGAUUGUGAUUUACGUAAUCCUGUAGAGUGUUGAAGAAGGACAUAGAGGCUCGUUAUAAUUGCUUCAAGCUUCUAGAAUGAUCUACAACACCCUAAGAGACGUUCAGUUGCUUGCAUAUUUAUGGUUUUAUGCAAAUUUGCAAUGUGUGUUUUGGUGAGAACACAACGUUUGCACAUUUGGAACGUUCACUAGUACUAAAUAGGUAAUGAAAAAUGUUUGAAAAGCUCGUUAUGACAGAGGUGUAUUUGCAUUUUAUAGUUUCUGGUAAAAUAUGAGGUAAUAAAUAGGUUAGUGCCGCAUGUUUUACACUCUCAUCAAAAUUAAUAUCAGAGUGACACGACGUGGCGCCAUCAUUUAUUCAUCGCGUCUUUUAUGAAAUUUCUUGUAAAAAAUUGAAGCGGUUUUGUGUAAUUUCUCAGUCAGGAAGGAGUUUGCCUUGAUUAAAUUGGAUCAGGUUAUCUACAAGUGGCAGCAGCAGGACAAAGGUCUUAAAUUAAAUUGCCUCUCAUAUAUCUAGAGACCAAUAUUUGAUUUAGGUCGUACGACCUUCUCGAGGCAAAAACUUUACAAGAAUGAAGGAAUAAGAUGCCUACCCGCUUUACAGCAAAAUCUAGAUAAUUGGAUGCUUUGUCUCUAUCACGAAACGCAUCUUCGCAAAGGACAACUUAUCCCCUACAUUAAUCUCUCAGAGGUUGGACUGCUACCUGCAAAUAUGUAGAUUACACAUUUGCAAUGCGAUAUCUGACUCCAAACGACAAAAAAUCCGAGAUUUACAUCAAUUUUUUUCCCAAGCACCACAAUUUGAGUCUCAACAAUGUAAUUUUAUCGGUUUUGCGAACAACAUUUACCAAUUGCCACAAUUGAAUUCAGCAGAAACCCAAUUUACAUAAAGAGAUUGGACUAUAAAUAGGGCAAUUCGGUUCGUUUUACAGUUAAAGAUGUACUCUCGUUGUCUAAUUCCGCUUGUGCUUUACAUCGCCAUACAAGCAGUUGGUGGUGUAAAAUUUUGCUAUGAAAAACACUGUGUCAAUUGUGAUGCGAAAAUAGUUGUCAAACAAUGCCCCGAUGUACAUUCCUUGUGUGCUUUCAACAUUUUUACAGAUUCAAACAAUGUUUUUCAGUUGGUAAUACUGAACGAGUCAAAACGUGCGUCAGUCCUGACAACUUAGCUUUCUGGUUGCAUCGCUGUACCUAUUUUAAUAAACAAAUUUGUGUAACGAAGAA